AAACCUGAGAAACCCGAAAGAUCGAAUGGGGAGAUUCAUCGUCAGCGAUUCCGGUACGUGUGCGGCUCGCGAUGUCUGAGACUUCGGUCUCGAGGCACGCGUCCGCAUGUUUUUUAUUGCUGGAAUCGUCGGCGUGCACUUCUCCCCUAGUAGGACGUCGCGACCCGUUGGGUGUCGGUCUACGGCACGGUAGGGUAGCCUGUCACGUGUGCGCUUCACGGCGUUACGCGGGGCAGACCUCCGUUCGCCCGACCGGCUGCCCGGCGGUACUCGCAAGGUAUCUGGCCGCAGACAUACGAACUGCGUCCGGCCCGUCGCAAGCGCGGCAAGUGUCUCCCGGCUGUGCGGAUCUAAUGCCGUCACCGGGCCUUGCCAGCUGUUGGUCGACGGUGUCCUAGGACUGGCUAAUAGAUACCGGUCGGCGACGCUACUGCUUUGGGUACUUUCAGGACCCGUCUUGAAACACGGACCAAGGAGUCUAACAUGUGCGCGAGUCAUUGGGAGCUAUUAAGCCUAAAGGCGCAAUGAAAGUGAAGAUCGGCCUUGCGCCGAUCGAGGGAGGAUGGGCCGCGUCACGAUGCGGUCCCGCACUCCCGGGGCGUCUCGUUCUCAU
rnacentral:rRNA from 1 species